rnacentral:misc_RNA from 1 species
ACAAAUCCAAUGCUUGUGAGAUGAUUUUAAUUAAUUGUCUUGCAAAUAUUAAUCCGCUGGCCUCGCAAGGGGCUAGUUGAUAGAUAACGAUAUAAAUGUGUGUAGUGUUGACAGUGUGUGAUAUUUAAUUAAUUAUUGACAACUUUUAACAAUGGAUCUCUAGGCUCUUGCAUCGAUGAAGAACGCAGCAAAAUGCGAAACGUGAUGCGAUUUGCAUGAAUCUGUGAGUCAUCUAAUCUUUGAACGCGAAUGGCACUGUUACGUAAGUAGCAGUAUGUCUGUUUGAGAAUCGCAAACACGAUCAACUCUAGUUAGAGUUGGGAUUGACCUCAUGCGCUGUUUAUAGCAGCAUUUGGUUUGAAUGAAUCAAGUUGAUGGGUUCCCCAGCAAUGCUCAAUGUGUGCUAGCGAGACAGUCGUCCCGAUCUCACAUUAGUGGUUUUGUUGCAGAGCUCUAAUCACGGCUUGUUUAAAUUUCUAUCUAU